UACGUAGGGUGCGAGCGUUAAUCGGAAUUACUGGGCGUAGAGCGUGCGCAGGCGGUUCUCCAAGUCCGUUGUGAAAGCCCCGGGCUCAACCUGGGAAUGGCAGUGGAAACUAGGGGACUGGAAUCUGGCAGAGGGGGGUGGAAUGCCGCGUGUAGCAGUGAAAUGCGUAGAGAUGCGGCGGAACACCGAUGGCGAAGGCAGCCCCCUGGGCUGAGAUUGACGCUCAGGCACGGAAGCGUGGGGAGCAAACAGG
rnacentral:rRNA from 1 species